rnacentral:rRNA from 1 species
UUGACGGGGACCCGCACAAGCGGUGGAUGAUGUGGAUAAUUCGAUGCAACGCGAAGAACCUUACUACCCUUGACAUGUCCGGAACUUGCCAGAGAUGGCUUGGUGCCCGAAAGGGAAUCGGAACACAGGUGCUGCAUGGCUGUCGUCAGCUCGUGUCGUGAGAUGUUGGGUUAAGUCCCGCAACGAGCGCAACCCUUAUCAUUAGUUGCUACGCAAGGGCACUCUAAUGAGACUGCCGGUGACAAACCGGAGGAAGGUGGGGAUGACGUCAAGUCCUCAUGGCCCUUAUGGGUAGGGCUUCACACGUCAUACAAUGGUCGGUACAGAGGGUUGCCAAGCCGCGAGGCGGAGCCAAUCCCACAAAGCCGAUCGUAGUCCGGAUUGUUCUCUGCAACUCGAGAGCAUGAAGUCGGAAUCGCUAGUAAUCGCAGGUCAGCAUACUGCGGUGAAUACGUUCCCGGGUCUU